GACGAACGCUGGCGGCGUGCCUAAUACAUGCAAGUCGAACGCAGUGGGGACGGGAGAGUAACACGUGGGUAACCUCCCCAUCAGAGGGGAUAACACUUGGCAACAGGUGCUAAACCGAUACUGGUGGAUGGACCCGCGGGGCAUUAGCUAGUUGGUGGGGUAACGGCUCACCAAGGCCACGAUGCAUAGCUGACUUGAGAGGGGGAUCGGCCACACUGGGACUGAGACACGGCCCAGACUCCUACGGGAGGCAGCAGUAGGGAAUUUUCGGCAAUGGACGAAAGCCUGACCGAGCCACGCCGCGUGAGUGAAGAAGGUUUUCGGAUCGUAAAAUUCUGUUGUUAGAGAAGCGGUAUCUAACCAGAAAGCACCGGCUAACUACGUGCCAGCCGCCGCGGUAAUUC
rnacentral:rRNA from 1 species